ACAACAAUUUGUUAUUUUUAGAGUUUUGGGAACACUGAGAUGCAAAAUUAGAAAACACGGAGAACUGAACGCUACUUAAAAGUACGGACAAAACUGCGUAAAACUCUCACUCGUUUAUAACACAAAGCCGCAUAGCAUCCAUCUUCUCUCUCUUCAACCUCUCUGCAAUGCAUCGUCUCUUUCUUCAACCUCUCUUUCUAAUCUCGUUUACAAAGUUAAAUUAGCUGUACAAGGGUUUUGACCUUUUAUCUCCAGAUUCUCCUCCUCUUUGAAGAGCCCUCUCUCAGAUUUUUUCAAGCUAGAUCUGCACUUCUUUCCUCACAAUCGUCUCUCUGCUCUGUUGCAGGAUCGGCCGCCGUCGCCUUCAAAUCCGCCAGAGUUGCAGAGAAAUCUGGACUUUCCAGUGCUCAUUUCCAGCAAUGCUCUUUCAUUUCCGAACGCCCUGGGUCGAUUAAGCUCCCAAAUCACAUCAACUUGGAUUGCAGAUCGAGGAGAUCGUUUGCUUCCUCCGGGAAAUACUAUGUAGUUGAUUCUAGUUACCCAUGCACAAAAGGAUUUUUGCCUCCAUAUCGUGGUUAAAGAUAUCAUUUAUAAGAUUACAGGGGUAACAAUCGGCAACCGCGUGGUGCAAAGGAAUUGUUUAACUAUCGGCAUUCAUCACUUCGUAAUGUCAUUGAACGUUGUUUUGGAAUACUAAAGGCUCGUUUUCCCAUUUUAAAGCUUAUGCCUUGUUAUAAGUUGGUUAGACAACGACUCAUAAUAACUGAUUGUUGCACGAUUCACAAUAUCAUUCGUCAAAAUAUAUUAGAUGAUCAUUUUUUUAUAGAGUAUGGGGAAGAAGAUGCUAAUGUCACUGAUGGGGGGAAUGGUAACAGUAGUAAUGUUGGUUUACUGAAUGCACUUAAUUUAUGUGAUGAUGGUGCAGAACAAAUGGGAGCCCUUAGAACUCAUUUGACAAAUCAAAUGUAGGCAUCAUUCAAAAACAAUGUUAGAUGAAGUUAUUUUUAUAAUUCUCCAAUGUUUUGCUUUGAUUACCUAUUUAUGUAAUUCUCUAAUAUUUUGUUUUGGUUAUGUAUGACUAAAAUUAAUAUUUGUACAACUAAAAGUGCAUAUGACACUUGAAGUAAUUAAUGUAACUCUUUUAUUGUAUUUAAAUUUAGUCAAAUUUUAAUUAAACUUGAUA